AUUGAACGCUAGCGGGAUGCUUUACACAUGCAAGUCGAACGAGUGGCGGACGGGUGAGUAAUAUAUCGGAACGUGCCCAGUAGAGGGGGAUAACUACUCGAAAGAGUGGCUAAUACCGCACACUAUUGGAGCGGCCGGUAUCGGAUUAGCUAGUGGGUGGGGUAAAGGCUCACCAAGGCAACGAUCCGUAGCUGGUUUGAGAGGACGAACAGCCACACUGGGACUGAGACACGGCCCAGACUCCUACGGGAGGCAGCAGUGGGGAAUAUUGGACAAUGGGCGAAACCCUGAUCCAGCCAUCCCGCGUGUGUGAGAAGGCCUUCGGGUUGUAAAGUACUUUUAGCAGAGAAGCGGUAUCUGCAGAAUAAGCACCGGCUAACUACGUGCCAGCAGCCGCGGUAAUUC
rnacentral:rRNA from 1 species